rnacentral:lncRNA from 1 species
UAAAUCCAAAUUUGUAAUAGAAGUACCAGAAGCAAGAUUGCAGACAUUUCUGCAGCAUUAUGUAAGAAAGCCUGCCAUGUUCAUUAGCUGAUUUUAAAAUCAUUAGUAGGCAUUUAAAGCAGUGACUUACUUACCUUAUUGUAGUUUGAGAAUAAUACAACCAAACUUCACUAAGACUUUAAAAUUCACCCUAGUGAAUUUUAAACUGCCUUCCCCAUUAAUUUGCCUUAAAUUACAGUGUUGCUUUUUGCCAAGGACCUUUCAGAGAAAUGGGCCAUUUCAUCUACAGGUUGGAGAAAAGUUUAAUUCUGGGGUUAAAGCAUAAAUGAAAGAGAGUGUGCUGAAGAACAGUAAGGCUUAAAAACCCAAGUUAUGUGUAAAUUGUUCUGAACUCAAGAGAAUAUUUGUCCACCUACAUUUUUAAUUCCUCUUUUUAAAAGUCCUCUCUGCUCUUCAACGAUGCUCUGCUCUGUGUCACUCAAGGACACUGGUGGAGAAGCAGCUGUGCCCCUUCCUUAACUAAGUCAGAGUUAAAAUGUGAACAUUUAUGCCAUUUCUGUCCAUUUCCGUGCAAAUUCAGACCCUGCUAGGAGCUCCAGUCUCCAAGGACGUUUCACUGGGGGCUGGACUGCAGCUCUGUCUUUGGUACUUGCAUUGCAGCUGCAGCCUUCAUGACAGCAGGUGUUUACUGUGAUUCAGCAUGUGCUGUCCUGGUCUGUUCUACAAAAUACCAUGGACUGGGUGAUAACAGAAACUCAUUUCUCACAGAUCUGGGGGCUGGGAAGUUCAAGAUCUGGGUGCCGGAAGAUUUGGUGUCUGCUGAGGGCUCUCUGUCUCCAGGGUAGCACCUCACUGCAGUGUCCUCGUAUGGGAGAAGAGAUGGAAGGGGCUGGCAGAGCCCUCAUGGCCUAGUCACCUCCCAAGGGCCCCACCUCCCCAUAUCAUCAUCUUGGGGUCUCUAUUGAGAUAAAGAGUUCCAGGGAAAGAAAGGUCACAGUGCUCGGUAAACAACCCAGCAAACAGCGGCUCUGCUGCUGCGUGGGCCGAGCGGGUGGUCUGGGGCUGUGACGGCCUCUCAGUGUGUGAUGAAGUUUCAGCGCCCUCCACGGUGGCAGUGCCAGCUUGGAAUCCCGCUUCCGGUUGUGUUGUUCAUUCUGGCUAGCUGAGUUUCAGUUAGUUCAUGAUCUGUUUAAACCAGAGUGAGUACCUGGAGACCUUGGUGACAAGGACCAUGUGAGCCUCCCCUCCUACUGGCUGCGAGCCCAGGACCCCCGUGAGGAACCAGGAGCCUCUGUGUUCUCUGGUGACCACACUUCCCUCCAUCCAGUGCAUGGCCGCCACGCUGCUUCUCUCACAGUAGGUCCUGGUGGUGACAGUCACAUUCAGGACCUGCCCACACUCCUCCCCCUCCACAAGUGUGACAGGCCGCGUGGUCAGCGAGUUGCCCAGGUCAGUGCCAUUGCGUGCCCAGCCGCUGAGGAGGCCCCUGGUGCGUGGGAUGAGGAGGUGCUCAGCGAAGUCUUUCUCAGGGGUGCACACGGGGAGCCCCGCACCUGGGCACUGGAUGGGCCACUCCAGCUCCAGCAGUGACAGGUCAUUCUCCUCCGAGUCCGCGUCGUACCGCAUGUGCACAUGGACGUGCGUUAUCUUGAUCAUCAGCGGGUCUUGGCUCGUUCUGUUAAAAUCUGAAAUCAUGAACAAUCGCCAGUUCUUUACAGUCUGAUUUUCAAGGGGACAUAAUGUUCAGAAACGAGCUUCUCAGGGAGCCACGUGAGGAGGGAGAGACCGGCCCUGGAGGACCCACAGGCUCACUGCCCCGUGGUGUGGACACUGUGCCUUUCUGCGGACAGAAAGGCCACUCACAGAUUGCACGAUUGCAACCAAGUGCCACAGCCUUUAAAAACAGUCAAGGCUGUUCUGAAGGAUAUACUCAGGCAGAAGGAGAUAAUUG